GGCCCCGUCCGCGACCCUCGGCGGAGUUCGGAAACCUCGCCCUCGUGGCCGUGGGGGGGCGGACACGUGACCCGGCCCAGCCACUCCGAGUGCUGCUGACGUGGCCGCGCGGCCCCGAUGCCUCCCCCCCACCCCCAGCGGCUAGGGAAGGGAGGGGCUGGGGGCGACGCCCCCUCCCCCAACGCCGCCUCGGCUUCCGGGGGGGUUGACACCCCGGAUUCCGUGCUCCCCCCCAGCCGGGCUGAGGGCGCCUUUGGAGGCCCCCCCGUGGUUCCUGGAUCCAGGUCCUCGGCCGCGGCGGCCUCCCAGAGCAGGCGCCGCCGGCCCCGCCCGCGCGCCCCCUCCCAGCCCGCGCCCCGCCGGCGCCGCCAGUGGGGGAGUCGCGAACGGCGCGAUCAGCCCGGCGCCUGCCAGCCCCGAGGACUGCGUGGGACCCGGCGGUGGCGCGAGAGGACCGCGGGCCCCGGGGAGACGGCGCCCGCGCGCCUCUCGGCCUCCCUCCUCCCGGACUCGCCGAGCCCCGGCGCGGCCAACUGGCUCGGAGACAUGGCGGGCUUCCCCUUCGCCCGGGCCCUCUGCGGCACUCUUCUGCCGGGAGAUGGACACCUUGGAAAUGGAGUUUGUGACGUCACCCCUCCAGCGGACCAAUGGAAAAGGCUCCCGCGAAGAGGCGGUCCCGCCCCCUCGCCUCUGCUGCUCCGGGCGCGCGAGCGCGCGGGCUCGCGCAGAGGGGGCGGGCGAGUCGCGAGCCGGGUGGCGCGCAUGAGCGGCGAAGCUCCGCCCCUCCGCCUAUAUAUAAAGCACUGGCGCGGGGCUCGGCGGCGCCAUUUCGCGCUGGAGUGGAGCAGCCUCUAGGACGAGCCGGAGGGUGCCGCGCGCUGAUCCUCAGCCUUCAGGCUCCGCGGGCCGCCAGUACAAUCCGCGUCCAUCCGCCUGGAAAUGGCCUUCGCCUCGGCCCGUGACCGCUCGCGGCGCACAGUGCAGACCCCAUAGAAGCCCCCGACGCUCCCCUUUCUCGGGCCCCGCCCAGUCCUCGGAGUCUGUCCACCCCUCUACUCCGCCCUCGAGAGGAUUUCAAAGAUGGAGGCGGCGGCUCUCUGAAGCCCCUCACGGUGCCCAUCCGCCUCCCCCGGAGGCCUAACGGGACUCUCGGCGGCCCCCGCUGGCGGCCGCGGCAGGACGAGGCGCCCCUGGGAGCCGGCAGCGGACGGAGUCGGGGAUCGGGGCCGCCGGAGGGAGCGCGCGGACGGCGUUCUCUGUGGCCGCCGGGGGCCGCCGCCAUUUUCCGGCCGCCGCCUCGCCCGCGGAGCGCGCCAAGCCGCCGAGUUGCGCGGAGGGCGGCGCAGGAGGCCGCGUCGGCGCCGGCCCGCGGCGAGGCCGUCGCCCCGCUUCCCGGGGUAUGCUGGGCCCGGCGGUGAACGGAGCCGAGGCCACCAGGACUUCGCGCGGCUGAGCACC
rnacentral:lncRNA from 1 species